rnacentral:rRNA from 1 species
UUUAUUUGAGAGUUUGAUCCUGGCUCAGGAUGAACGCUGGCGGCGUGCCUAACACAUGCAAGUUGAGCGAUUUACUUCGGUAAAGAGCGGCGGACGGGUGAGUAACGCGUGGGUAACCUACCCUGUACACACGGAUAACAUACCGAAAGGUAUGCUAAUACGGGAUAAUAUAUUUGAGAGGCAUCUCUUGAAUAUCAAAGGUGAGCCAGUACAGGAUGGACCCGCGUCUGAUUAGCUAGUUGGUAAGGUAACGGCUUACCAAGGCGACGAUCAGUAGCCGACCUGAGAGGGUGAUCGGCCACAUUGGAACUG